rnacentral:hammerhead_ribozyme from 1 species
UUACUGCUGAGGAGUCCCAUACUAGGACGAAACGGCAGUCCAGUGC